rnacentral:lncRNA from 1 species
CGUCAUCUAUCAUCUCUUCUCUCUUCCAUCUUCUAGCAACAAAGACGUCCUUUUGCAAGGGAGCUAGCACCCCGGUGAGGACAUCAAUCAAAUCAAGAACCUCAUGUGGAUACCUAUAGAGGCCGGACGCGUGUGCGGCUUCAAGAGAAUCGAAUUCCACGAUCAUCAAAUUGAGGGGAAGAUCUAUCUGUGAAAAAGGUAAAGAUUCGAUCUUGUUUUUCUUCUUUAAUCUUAAAAUAUGAGGGAUCCUAAUUGCGUGGUUUUUGAGAUUGGAUCUCGAGAAUUUUUCAAAAUCAAAUUUGUUUGAUUUCUUUUUCCGCUGCGUUUUACCGUACGCAAUUUUCUAACAGCAGUUGUGGCCGCCGUCGCGCAGUCGUGCCCGCCGCUGCGCCGGGGAGGAGGAGGAGCCUCAGGUGUGGUGGCGUUUUUUUGGGAGAAGGGGUUUGAGGGGAUCGACAGUGUUAGGGUUUUUUUAGGGGGAAAUUAAAAGGGAGGGGAAAAUUUGGGGGGAAAGAAUAAAAACUAAAUGGGACUUCUUCUUCUUUUUUUUUUAAGAUAUAGGGGCGGUUGUGGUAAACCGC